UGGUGGAGUGAUUUGUCUGGUUAAUUCCGUUAACGAACGAGACCACGACCUGCUAAAUAGUACACCGUAGCCUCCUGGCUACGGUCUGUGCUUCUUGGAGGGACUGUCGGUUCUUAGCCGAAGGAAGAUCGUGGCAAUAACA
rnacentral:rRNA from 1 species